AACGCACAUUGCGCCCCUUGGCAUUCCGGGGGGCAUGCCCGUUCGAGCGUCAUUACACCACUCAAGCCUGGCUUGGUAUUGGGCCCCGGGGAUUCCCCCGCGCCCCCAUUUCGUCGGCUGGACGGUUGGAAUCUCGGCGUUGUGAAUCAAUUCGCUGACGAGGACGACCGGCCGGGCCGUUAAACCCUUUCAUUCAGGUUGACCUCGGAUCGGGUAGGGAUACCCGCUGAACUUAA
rnacentral:misc_RNA from 1 species